UUUUAAAGAGCCGCGGUAUUUUGACCGUGCAAAGGUAGCAUAAUCAUUAGUUUCUUAAUUAGGGGCUGGUAUGAAUGGCUUGACGAGAAAUCAACUGUCUCUUAUUAAUUUAUAAAAUUUAACUUUUAAGUUAAAAGGCUUAAAUUGAUCUUAAAGACGAGAAGACCCUAUAGAGCUUAACAUUAUAUUCUUACAUAAUCUUUAGUAGAUUUUUUUAUAUUAGAUAAAAAUGUUUUGUUGGGGUGACAUGAAGAAUAAUAAAACUCUUCAUUAUAAAAUCAUUGAUUUAUGUUUAUUAUGAUCCAUAAUUUAUGAUCAUAAGAUUAAGUUACCUUAGGGAUAACAGCGUAAUUGUUUUCGAGAGCUCAUAUUGACAAAGCAGAUUGCGACCUCGAUGUUGGAUUAAGAAUAAUUUUGGGUGCAG
rnacentral:rRNA from 1 species